rnacentral:rRNA from 1 species
UUAGAUACCCUGGUAGUCCACGCCGUAAACGAUGUCUACUUGGAGGUUGUGGCCUUGAGCCGUGGCUUUCGGAGCUAACGCGUUAAGUAGACCGCCUGGGGAGUACGGUCGCAAGAUUAAAACUCAAAUGAAUUGACGGGGGCCCGCACAAGCGGUGGAGCAUGUGGUUUAAUUCGAUGCAACGCGAAGAACCUUACCUACUCUUGACAUCCAGAGAAGCUUGAAGAGAUUCGAGUGUGCCUUCGGGAACUCUGAGACAGGUGCUGCAUGGCUGUCGUCAGCUCGUGUUGUGAAAUGUUGGGUUAAGUCCCGCAACGAGCGCAACCCUUAUCCUUGUUUGCCAGCACUUCGGGUGGGAACUCCAGGGAGACUGCCGGUGAUAAACCGGAGGAAGGUGGGGACGACGUCAAGUCAUCAUGGCCCUUACGAGUAGGGCUACACACGUGCUACAAUGGCAUAUACAGAGGGCAGCAAGACCGCGAGGUGGAGCGAAUCCCAGAAAGUAUGUCGUAGUCCGGAUCGGAGUCUGCAACUCGACUCCGUGAAGUCGGAAUCGCUAGUAAUCGUGGAUCAGAAUGCCACGGUGAAUACGUUCCCGGG